rnacentral:piRNA from 1 species
GUGUAUGAUGUUCUUUCUGAUCGUG